rnacentral:hammerhead_ribozyme from 1 species
AUCCAGCUGACAAGUCCCACAUAGGACGGAACGUAUAUCCUGGAU